UCACAUGAUCUGGUAUCAACUUGUUGAUCAGCUCAGGAGAUGACCCAGAUAACUGUAUCCAAAUUAAUGCAAUUAGCUAAACAAUGGCUUCAAUGGGUGAUUUGUUAAAGACAAUAGGUUAUAAUAUAACAUAAGAACAAACUGAAGGCAGAAAAAUACUACAUUCACUACAGUUGGCAAUUAUCACGAACAAUUUCACAAUCUUUAUGGAUACCAAUCU